rnacentral:rRNA from 1 species
UGCCAGCCGCCGCGGUAAUACAGAGGGUGCAAGCGUUAAUCGGAAUUACUGGGCGUAAAGGGUGCGUGGGUGGUUAUAUAAGUUAGGUGUGAAAGGCCCGGGCUCAACCUGGGAACUGCGCUUGAUACUGUAUAACUAGAGUACUGUAGAGGGAAGUGGAAUUUCCGGUGUAGCGGUGAAAUGCGUAGAUAUCGGAAGGAACACCAGUGGCGAAGGCGACUUCCUGGACAGAUACUGACACUGAGGCACGAAAGCGUGGGGAGCAAACAGCAUUAGAUA